rnacentral:lncRNA from 1 species
CACUGACCAUCAUCGCUGCCUGCUGACCGGGAGAGAGGUUCGUCCCCCCCAGGGACAAACCCCUCUGAUCAGGGGCGCUGAGCUUGACAAAUGGGUGUUUCCCCAUAUUGGGCGCCAUGGAGUCUCCGAAGGAAGACAGAGUAUAUCUCACCGCGGUGGAAGAGGACAAUGGAAAAGUAAUCUGCGCAGUUCAAAGACGUGUUUCUAUCUUUAUGACUUGGCACCGGGAGCAGAGGCUCAGAUAAAUGGUUUCCAGCUUCUGCUUCAAAGCCUCCGGUGCAAGGGACUAAUGUGUUUUCUGAAGCUUACAAGAUACGAACGGCCCGGGUCACUUUACUGCUGAAAGGGCAGCAACAUUCCUUGAUACUAUUCAAGAAAGUGCAAGAGGCUGUGAGGCCAGAGUGACAUUUCUGUUCAUUUCUGGAACAGAUCUCUCAGAUGUCCAUACCGCAAUGAGAGAGGUGGCAUAGUGCGUGGACCCUACAUUGUCUCCUGUCUCCUAACUAUUUCCUUCUGGGAGCUGGCCACAGGAAUACACUUGUAAUAUAAGCUUAAGGCUUUAAAAGCAUCCUGAAGGGAAUCGGCUCUUUAU